GAGUUUGAUCGUGGCUCAGAGCGAACGCUGGCGGCAGGCUUAACACAUGCAAGUCGAGCGGGCGUAGCAAUACGUCAGCGGCAGACGGGUGAGUAACGCGUGGGAACGUACCUUUUGGUUCGGAACAACACAGGGAAACUUGUGCUAAUACCGGAUAAGCCCUUACGGGGAAAGAUUUAUCGCCGAAAGAUCGGCCCGCGUCUGAUUAGCUAGUUGGUAGGGUAACGGCCUACCAAGGCGACGAUCAGUAGCUGGUCUGAGAGGAUGAUCAGCCACAUUGGGACUGAGACACGGCCCAAACUCCUACGGGAGGCAGCAGUGGGGAAUAUUGGACAAUGGGGGCAACCCUGAUCCAGCCAUGCCGCGUGAGUGAUGAAGGCCCUAGGGUUGUAAAGCUCUUUUGUGCGGGAAGAUAAUGACGGUACCGCAAGAAUAAGCCCCGGCUAACUUCGUGCCAGCCGCCGCGGUAAG
rnacentral:rRNA from 1 species